rnacentral:rRNA from 1 species
UACUUCUUCGGACAAUAUACAAGGUGCUGCAUGGUUGUCGUCAGCUCGUGCCGUGAGGUGUCGGGUUAAGUCCCAUAACGAGCGCAACCCUAUCAUUAGUUGCCAUCAGGUCAAGCUGGGGACUCUAAUGAAACUGCCUACGCAAGUAGUGAGGAAGGUGGGGAUGACGUCAAAUCAGCACGGCCCUUACGUCCAGGGCUACACACGUGCUACAAUGGCCGGUACAAAGGGCAGCUACCUGGUGACAGGAUGCUAAUCUCAAAAGCCGGUCUCAGUUCGGAUCGGAGUCUGCAACCCGACUCCGUGAAGCUGGAAUCGCCAGUAAUCGCGCAUCAGCCAUGGCGCGGUGAAUACGUUCCCGGGCCUU